GUGAACGCUGGCGGUAGGCCUAACACAUGCAAGUCGAACGGCAGCACAGUAAGAGCUUGCUCUUACGGGUGGCGAGUGGCGGACGGGUGAGGAAUACAUCGGAAUCUACUUUUUCGUGGGGGAUAACGUAGGGAAACUUACGCUAAUACCGCAUACGACCUACGGGUGAAAGCAGGGGAUCUUCGGACCUUGCGCGAUUGAAUGAGCCGAUGUCGGAUUAGCUAGUUGGCGGGGUAAAGGCCCACCAAGGCGACGAUCCGUAGCUGGUCUGAGAGGAUGAUCAGCCACACUGGAACUGAGACACGGUCCAGACUCCUACGGGAGGCAGCAGUGGGGAAUAUUGGACAAAGGGCGCAAGCCUGAUCCAGCUAUACCGCGUGGGUGAAGAAGGCCUUCGGGUUGUAAAGCCCUUUUGUUGGGAAAGAAAAGCAGCAGGUUAAUACCCCGCUGUUCUGACGGUACCCAAAGAAUAAGCACCGGCUAACUUCGUG
rnacentral:rRNA from 1 species